GGGUAUAUAGCUCAGUUGGUAGAGUGCUUGCCUUGCAUACACAAGACCCUGGGUUCAAACCCCAGCAACACCA
rnacentral:tRNA from 1 species